rnacentral:rRNA from 1 species
GACGAACGCUGGCGGCGUGCUUAACACAUGCCAGUCGAACGGAAAGGCCCUGCUUUUGUGGGGUGCUCGAGUGGCGAACGGGUGAGUAACACGUGAGUAACCUGCCCUUGACUUUGGGAUAACUUCAGGAAACUGGGGCUAAUACCGGAUAGGAGCUCCUGCUGCAUGGUGGGGGUUGGAAAGUUUCGGCGGUUGGGGAUGGACGCGCGGCUUAUCAGCUUGUUGGUGGGGUAGUGGAUUACCAAGGCUUUGACGGGUAGCCGGCCUGAGAGCGUGACCGGCCACAUUGGUACUGCGAUACGGCCCAGAGUCCUACGGGAGGCAGCAGUGGGGAAUAUUGCACAAUGGGCGGAAGCCUGAUGCAGCAACGCCGCGUUCGGGAUGACGGCCUUCGGGUUGUAAACCGCUUUCGCCUGUGACGAAGCGUGAGUGACGGUAAUGGGUAAAGAAGCACCGGCUAACUACGUG